CUUAUAAAUUCCCAAAUGUCUGAUUCACCGGGUAGAAUUAGAAAUAGAAAUUCAAAUCCACCGAGCCCUAACCCUAACCCUAACCCUAAUUCAAAACCACCACCUCCAUUAACAAAGCGGGGCAGAACUUUAAGCUUACCGGACGUAUGGUUCAAAGAUCAAUCGCUGAAGCAUGUAGUUUGGAAAAUGCAUCUCAGAUCCUUAUCUACUACACCGUCGCCGCCUUCUUCAGAUUCUGAUUUUUCAUUAUUAGGGUUUCAAUCUCCACUUGACCCGAUUACCCGACCCGACUGCACCUCUCUCCUCUCCGACGAGCUUCUUCUUCAAGUGUUCUCUAGGCUUCCGAGUUCUCAGUAUAUAUCUAAUUCUCUUGUGUGCAAACGGUGGUUGUAUAUUCAUGGCCGUUUGGUUCAAUCUAUCAAGCUCAAUGAAUGGUCAUUUCUUAAUUCGGGUCGAAUCUUCACCCGGUUUCCGAAUCUCGUAGAGAUUGGUAUUCUCAAUGCUUGUUUCGUGACGCCGAGGAAUUCUGGUAUUGUGUUGACUCAUAAGUAUUUGUCAAUUCAUAUUGGUACUGAUUAUACAGAUUAUGGGAUGUUUAUUGAAGGAAGUCGCAUUUUGCCUUCGGAUUUUAUUGAUUGUGGACUCGAAAUGAUUGCGAAACAGUAUUCUAAUUUGAGAAGAAUUGUGGUGUUUAAUGCUAGCGAAACUGGGUUGUUGAGUAUUUCGGGGAAGUGCGAAACUUUGCAAGAAUUAGAACUGCAUUGUUGUGGGGAUUUCGCGUUGAAUGGUAUUUCGGGGUGCAGGAAUUUACAAGUAGUUAAAUUGGUUGCUUGUGUUGAUGGGUUUUAUAAUACAGUAGUUUCUGAUAUUGGAUUAACAAUUCUAGCACAGGGGUGCAGUCGGUUAGUUAAGCUUGAGCUUUGUGGAUGUGAGGGAAGUUAUGACGGGAUUAAAGCGAUAGGGCAGUGUUGCCAAAUGCUUGGGGAAUUGACUAUUUCUGAUCAUAGAAUGGAUGGUGGGUGGUUGGCUGCAUUGUCAUUCUGUGUAAAUUUGAAGACGUUGACAAUGAAGUCUUGCAAGAGCAUUGAUUCGAGUCCAGGUCUGGUUGAGCAUCUGGGUUCUUGUCCUACACUUGAAGAGUUGCAUUUGCAACAGUGUCAGAUGCGGGAUAAACCUGGGCUUAAAGCUCUCUUUUUAGUUUGUGAUGCUGUUAGGGAGAUUGUUUUUCAAAACUGCUGGGGUCUGGAGGAUGAAGUAUUUGCCACUGCAAGUGUUUGUAGGAGGGUGAAGCUUGUAUCUCUCGAAGGAUGCUCAUCGCUGACUACAGGAGGUCUUGAAGCCGUUAUUCUUAACUGGAAGGAUCUUCAAAGAUUACGAGUAAUGUCGUGCAACAAAAUAAAAGACGGUGAAGUGAGUCCGGCGCUGGCAUCUCUGUUCUCUGUCUUAAAAGAGUUGAAAUGGAGACCAGAUUCCAAAUCUCUUGUUUCCUCUAGUCUUGCUGGAACUGGAGUGGGAAAUAAAGGUGGUAGAUUUUUCAAGGGAAUGAAGGGUUAAAUUAUGGCAAGGUUGUUUCAGUCACUUCAUACAAAUCCUCCAGUGAUUAUCUUAUCUAUUUGAAAUAAUUAGUCCAUAAUAGAGGGGGAUUUGGCAGAGGUUUUAAGUUAAAGGCAGGGUUUUUUUGUCCUCCUUCUUCUUGACGUCAAUUAGAAGAUGUUUUUAGGUGAAAGAGGUGGUGCCGGUGCCGCGAAUUUGCGUAAAAGAGGCGGCGGAAAGAGCAGAGGAGCAGCUCAGAAGAUGCUCGAGAAUUACACGGACGAGACGAAUAGAUUGUGGAUUGCUCCAUCUACUGUGUUGAUCAUGAGCAUUGGCUUUAUUGCUUCCGUUGUCAUGCUUCAUGUUAUCGGCAAACUCUACUUGCAUCGCGGAGAUGCUUAAAUUUGUUGCUAAUUGUAGGAUUCUCAAGUUUUAAUUGGUUGAUUAGGAAUAUUAAGUUUUUUUUGGUUGAUUAUAUUUACAUGGAUAUUCAAUAAUGGGUAUCUUUUCUGUUUUGUUUAGUA